GCAGUCGACGAGACCUUCGGGUCUAGUGGCGCACGGGUGCGUAACGCGUGGGAAUCUGCCCUUGGGUUCGGAAUAACGUCGGGAAACUGACGCUAAUACCGGAUGAUGACGUAAGUCCAAAGAUUUAUCGCCCAGGGAUGAGCCCGCGUAGGAUUAGCUAGUUGGUGAGGUAAAGGCUCACCAAGGCGACGAUCCUUAGCUGGUCUGAGAGGAUGAUCAGCCACACUGGGACUGAGACACGGCCCAGACUCCUACGGGAGGCAGCAGUAGGGAAUAUUGGACAAUGGGGGCAACCCUGAUCCAGCAAUGCCGCGUGAGUGAUGAAGGCCUUAGGGUUGUAAAGCUCUUUUACCCGGGAUGAUAAUGACAGUACCGGGAGAAUAAGCCCCGGCUAACUCCGUGCCAGCAGCCGCGGUAAUACGGAGGGGGCUAGCGUUGUUCGGAAUUACUGGGCGUAAAGCGCACGUAGGCGGCGAUUUAAGUCAGAGGUGAAAGCCCGGGGCUCAACCCCGGAACUGCCUUUGAUACUGGAUUGCUUG
rnacentral:rRNA from 1 species